rnacentral:rRNA from 1 species
UACGGAGGGUGCAAACGUUGCUCGGAAUCAUUGGGCGUAAAGCGCACGUAGGCGGUCUGAUAAGUCAGGUGUGAAAGCCCUGGGCUCAACCCAGGAAGGGCACUUGAAACUGCCAGGCUUGAGUACGGAAGGGGGUCUCGGAAUUCCCGGUGUAGAGGUGAAAUUCGUAGAUAUCGGGAGGAACACCAGCGGCGAAGGCGGAGACCUGGGCCGAUACUGACGCUGAGGUGCGAAAGCGUGGGGAGCAAACAGG